UUUUUUUUUUGCCUUCUGCCAUGCAUGUAAGAUGCGAUUUGCUCCUCUUUCCCUUCUGCCAUGAUUGUGAGGCCUCCCCAGCCAUAUGGAACUCUCCUGGAUACAUGUACAGGACGUGCAGGUAUGUUACAUAGGUAAAUGUGUGCCAUGGUGGUUUGCUGCAUCUAUCAACCCAUCACCUACGUAUUAAGCCCAGUGUGCAUUAGCUAUUUAUCCUGAUGCUCUCCCUCCUGCCAUACAUCCUCUACCUUCAGGCCCCAGUGUGUGUCGUUCCCCUCCCUGUGUCCAUGUGUUCUAUAUCUGGGUCAUUUCUAAAUAAAAUACUGAAACA